CAAUGAGAUACUUAGCUUCAGCAGAGACAUCAGAUGAUAUCUCUAAUUAAACAAUAGACUACUUCACCUAGUGAUGGCUUCAGAAAUUCAUGAAAUUCAGCAAAUCAGACACAAUUUAUAGUUAAACUGCAAGUAGCUUCUCCUUCGAGGACAAAGAGAACCAAGAAUAUAUUUGACUUAUCUAAAAUUCUUUAUAUUGGAUUUAAACUUUCAGCCCCACUUUAAAUUAAUUGUGAAAAUUCAGUUUCUUUCAUUCGUGAAGAAGAAAAGGAAGACAUGAAAUCUAAACAGUUACAACCAAAAUCCUCAAAUCUCGCUCUGUAACUAUAACUCUUUUGCUAUGUGGUGAAAAUAGAAAAUAGGAUAGAGGUGUAAAAAACUUCAGGUGCUAACAGUGUCAAACAUUUGUCGGCAAUUUUCUAUUUUCUCCCUUACCUCCGAAGGAUGGAAAAGACCAGGGAUGCAUAAGAAAUCAAAUAAGAAAACCAGUUCAUUGAAGAUUUUUUACUAAACACCUCCACAUCAGAGGUUUUUACCUAAGGAAUCAGAAUCAGGUCAUGAAAAGAAAGAGAUGGUAGGUCGGUUGCGGUCGUUGGCUCUGGAACAAACAACAACUAUAUGAAGAUAAUAGUAAAAAGCAAUUAGCAACACACCGCAAGAUAGAAACAAAGAGCCCUAGUCCCCAUCAUCGUUGCCAACCCAGCACACUGCCCAUUGAGCAGACCAAUGAAGAAGGAAAUAGAGCCAAUCCAAGCGCAACGGAAGAGCACAAAAGGAAAAUGAUGAAAAUUAUUCUGCCUAUUUUUCAUCCUCUUAGAGGUUGCGUAGUCUAGACUCUAGAUGAUACACACAAGUAGGAGAGAGAGAGCGAAGGGAAGGGGGAGACAGAGAGAGGAUAGAGAGAGCCAGAAGGAGCAUCGAGAUAAUAAGCCUAAAAAACGUGGCAAAUCAGUUGCUGCGUAAGUAUGCAUAAGCGAAAAGACGAUAUUACCCUUGAUUUGAAAUGUAUUGCCA
rnacentral:lncRNA from 1 species